rnacentral:lncRNA from 1 species
CUUUUGGGGCUUUAAGGGCUUUGGCUAAGGUUCUCCAGGGAGGCUGCUCUGCCAAGUCUGGUAUUUCAUGAAUAGAUCUGAAAACAGACAUUAUCUCUUCUCCCAGUGAAGAGAGAGUGAUGAAGGCUCAGGACAAAAGGAGGCAGUGGGAUGAUGCCGCCAAGGGACCGUUCUGAAGAGCCAUCAGCAAAAAGCAGCCACACCUGCUUAUGUGGCUCUGGGACAAAUGAUCUGAGCCCUGACAUGGAACUUAGAUGCAGUAAAGUCCAUUGUAUUGAGCCUUCUCUGGCACUCCUCCCAAAACAGAGAGACAACAGUUCUGUUAUGUUUUGUUUGGUUUGGUCUCCCUCAACUCAUCAAUGAGCCUUUUUAAAAAGAAGAAUUCGGUACUUUCUUUAAA